rnacentral:rRNA from 1 species
CAGCCGCCGCGGUAAUACGAAGGGGGCUAGCGUUGCUCGGAAUGACUGGGCGUAAAGGGCGCGUAGGCGGAUUGUUUAGUUAGGCGUGAAAUUCCUGGGCUUAACCUGGGGACUGCGCUUAAUACAGGCAGUCUAGAGUGAGGAAGAGGGUUGUGGAAUUCCCAGUGUAGAGGUGAAAUUCGUAGAUAUUGGGAAGAACACCGGUGGCGAAGGCGGCAACCUAGUCCUUGCCUGACGCUGAGGCGCGAAAGCGUGGGGAGCAAACAGGAUUAGAGACCCCUGUAGUCCCUGUCUCUUAUAC